UACGGAGGGUGCAAACGUUGCUCGGAAUUAUUGGGCGUAAAGCGCACGUAGGCGGUCCAGCAAGUCGGGAGUGAAAUCCCUCGGCUCAACCGAGGAAGUGCUUUCGAAACUACUGGGCUUGAAUACUGGAGAGGGUUGCGGAAUUCCCGGUGUAGAGGUGAAAUUCGUAGAUAUCGGAAGGAACAUCAGUGGCGAAAGCGACUGCCUGGUCCAGCAUCGACGUUCAGGCACGAAAGCGUGGGGAGCAAACAGG
rnacentral:rRNA from 1 species